CGCAUAUUGCGCCCUUUGGUAUUCCGAAGGGCAUGCCUGUUCGAGCGUCAUUAUCACCUCUCAAGCCUGGCUUGCUGUUGGACUUCAGGUGUUACUACAGUAUUACCGGUCUUAAAGAUAAUGACGGUGUCUGUGAGGACCCCAGUACAUUGAGCUCUUGUAGCACGUACUAGGUGGAAGUCUAGGCCCGGUCUCAACUAUAUUUUCUUAAGGUUGACCUCGGAUCAGGUAGGAAUACCCGCUGAACUUAA
rnacentral:misc_RNA from 1 species